GGGCCCGUAGCUCAGCGGUUAGAGCAGGCGACUCAUAAUCGCUUGGUCGCUGGUUCGAAUCCAGCCGGGCCCA
rnacentral:tRNA from 4 species